CCUCCUGGCUCCCAGGAGGGCCAAGCGAUCCGGUGCUAACACUGGUGGGAAGCUGUUGAUACAACGAAGGAAAGGGUUUUUGAUGGCCCAUCCACUGAAUACCACCUGCUUGAUCAUGUGCAGCUGUUACGAUGAAGUUUGCUCCAGAUCUAUCCUUUGAGCUUUGCCUCUCACAGCUAAGCCCAUUCAUGUGUCCGAGACUGAAUCUGCUUAUGGAAUGCCUGAUUUGCCACGGCUGUGAAGAUCUGGGUCAACUUCUUUUUUCUUGCUACAUUAUUCUUAUGUGUACUUAAUUAUAGAGCACCCUUUUUUGGUGAAAAUAGUUUCUGUUGGACACUUUUA